CCCCCGCUCCGAGGGGCCGGGGUGUACGAACCUCCAGCAUCCAAGUGGCCACCAUCCUCCUCAUGAAGGGCUGGAUGUCCUUCUGGACGCACUUGAAGUAGGAGCAUUGGGGCAGAUACCUUUCCUCUAUGUGCUUGAAACCUGAAGGUUGGAGUGUGAAACAUGAGAAUCUGAAAGUGAAACCGACUGGAAGCCAAAAAAGAAACAGAUGAACGUGUUUCCACUGUCCAAGCUGAGGAAAGCCCCGAAAGCAAACAAACACUAUGAAUAAUAAAAUGUGCAAUAGAUUGGAAAUAAAAUUAUUCCAGCUUCA